rnacentral:rRNA from 1 species
UUGAAAGGGAAACGAUUGAAGUCAGUCGUACCGACGAGAAAUCAGCUUUUCGAAUGUGCAUUUGUGGGCGUAUGAGAUCUUCAUUGUUUGCAAUAUGUAUGUUUCUUUGGUGUACUUUUUCGUAUGGUAGGUCAAUGUCGGUUUUGAUCGCCAUAAAAUGAUCGGAGGAAUGUAGCUUCGGCCUCGGUUGAAGUGUUAUAGCCUUUGGUAAAUGUGGUGAUUAGGACCGAGGAUUGCAACGAAUACCUUUUAGGCUAUCCGUCUGACCUCUGAAAGUUACUUGGGUGCCGAAAGCUUGCUUACGGUCAUAAAAGUUGACGGUCAAUAGGUUAGAACGUGAUUACAUUCGUUAAGGAUGUUGACGUA